ACUGUGUAAGUGGCUUGAAAGUUUAGUUUAAUUCCAUUCUCAGCAGUUGACACAGCAUGGGCUUUUUAAAGGUGGUUUGACAUCAAACUGGGGGAGAUUGAGAAAGCAAAAGAAUGGGGGACCAAAGCACAGAGAAACAGGAUAUAAUGGAGAAAGGUAACCUGUCUGGAAGAAUCAGGGUGGCCAAACCGCCAUCAGUUCCAGAAACAUAAUCACAGCUGCCUCUUACUGUUCAGAAUAUCUGACGCCUGACCAGCCUUACCAGCGAAGGCUACAGGGGACCAGCAUGGAAUGGAAGAGAUUGGAAGAACAUUAAGGUUGCAUCUCCUCCCCCCAAACCCAUCACUAUUCACCACCCAGCUCCCAAGAUGCACUGCUGCACCCUCUCAAGAAUGUGAUAAGUCUCAUCUCCAAAACCCAAGACUGUCUUUUUCUCCCUCGUCUAAAUCGGGUCUGAACUCAAUAGUCUGAUCAUCUCUUUAAUAAAUGCCUGUGCUGAUGUCCUUCUUUCUUUUUCUUUCUUUCUUUCUUUCUUUCUUUCU
ensembl:lncRNA